rnacentral:rRNA from 1 species
GACGAACGCUGGCGGCGUGCUUAACACAUGCAAGUCGAACGGUGAAGGGAUCAGCUUGCUGGUUCUGGAUGAGUGGCGAACGGGUGAGUAACACGUGAGUAACCUGCCCCCUUCUUCUGGAUAACCGCAUGAAAGUGUGGCUAAUACGGGAUAUUCUGGGUCUGUCGCAUGAUGGGUCUGGGAAAGAUAUUGUUUCGGUGGGGGAUGGGCUCGCGGCCUAUCAGCUUGUUGGUGGGGUGAUGGCCUACCAAGGCGGGGACGGGUAGCCGGCCUGAGAGGGGGGACGGUCACACGGGGACUGGGACACGGCCAAGACGACUACGGGAGGCAGCAGUGGGGAAUAGUGCACAAUGGGCGCAAGCCUGAUGCAGCGACGCCGCGUGAGGGAUGGAGGCCUUCGGGGUGUAAACCUCUUUCGCCAGUGAAGCAGGCCUGCUCCUUGUGGGUGGGUUGACGGUAGCUGGAGAAGAAGCGCCGGCUAACUACGUG